UCGAUAAAUUAUUCMAUGUGAAACACGCAUGKAAAACCUAAUGAUGUUUGUUUUUAUUUGCUCUGUACCUAAUGCGCAAACAGUCUUUAUAGCCGCCGGUAAACAGCUGUUCUUCCCAUAAUAUUCCCAAUGCCUUAAAGCGGGUUUGAGAAGAAACCAAACAAUCAAAAAACUUUGUGGUAGUACUUUAGUACAGUCAGGGUCUUAAUCGAUCUGGAAAUUCGUUCGACACGGCUGAAAAACAGAAUGUCAUUACACUAUUUUACAGCAAAGUAGACGAUCAAGAAACACUACAAUGAAAGGAAACAGGAACGGAUCGCUUUCUUGCAGAUAUUAUACCUGCUAAAAAUUCCAGCARUUCCCAUUGCACAGCUGUCGAUGUGGACGAUCGUGACAUAUGCGGGACUGGUGGCCCUUUCCACAUAAGAUUGUCACCCGUUUAUAGCACUGAUAAUUGCAUAAUCUAUGGACUAUAUGAUCCAUUUUGGGGAUGUGUUAAUGGAACACUUCUUAGAUAUUUGGCAAUGAAUUGAUAGUUGAAACUUUUCCGAUUUCUGCACAGUGUCUCUCUUGAUAUAUAUAGCUUUGUCGAUUUGCUUAGGUGAAAAUUAAGCUAUUGGUGAAAAUUAAGCAGGUGCAUUCCUUCAUCAAAACAGUUGUCCGAAAAAUAACCUCAAAACAUGAUAACCAAUACUUCUUGAAUUAUUUUUCCUGAAUCAUUAUACUGCGUGAACAGUUUCAGAAAUAUAACUUCAGCGCAUUGUAGUUUAGUUUAGUGUAUCAUAACCUCUUUUUGUAUGUAUCGUUGUAGCUGCUUAUUGAAUGAAUAAAAUAAAACUUUGAGUAGAUGUUUAACUAU